AUAGCGUAUAUUAAAGUUGUUGCAGUUAAAAAGCUCGUAGUUGAAUUUCGGGAUUAAUAUGUUGGUCGUGCCUUGGUACGUACUGGCAUUAUUGAUUCCUACCUUCUGAAGAACCUCGAUGUCAUUAAUUUGGUGUCUUGGGGAAUCAGGACCGUUACUUUGAAAAAAUUAGAGUGUUUAAAGCAGGCUCGCGCUUGAAUACAUUAGCAUGGAAUAAUGAAAUAGGACGUUUGAUUCUAUUUUGUUGGUUUCUAGGAUCGACGUAAUGAUUAAUAGGGAUAGUUGGGGGCAUUAGUAUUCUAUAGUCAGAGGUGAAAUUCUUGGAUUUAUAGAAGACUAACUAGUG
rnacentral:rRNA from 1 species